CUCGCUGGUCUCCCUUAACGCUGGCGGGUCCGUCAACGGCCGUUCCAGGCAGAGGAGAAGGCUUGAUUGCGCCAAAGACUCCAGACAUCGAAUCCUUGCUCCGAGGGGAAAUCAUCGAAAACGACGGUGAAUGUCCGACAGGCACCCGCUCAUGCUACACCACUACAACAAAGAUGACGGGCAGAAGACGCUGUCAUAGAUGACCCCGUAGGGCUGCACAAUCCACAAUGACAUCCUGGGCUCAGAUCCAACAUCAGGGGAAAAAAAACCCUCAACCCAAUGGGAACAACGAGAAACCCUGGAAGGGACCGCAGAUGUUUGAUCCCUUCCAUUAGCGUGCCAACAUUUGUGAUAACUGCCUAAUGUAACACUAACAUACUGUAGAAAUCCAAAUGUACUGUAAGUAAAAUGCCCUUGAAUGCA